CCGGCGCACGGGUGAGUAACACGUAUCCAACCUGCCGUCUACUCUUGGCCAGCCUUCUGAAAGGAAGAUUAAUCCAGGAUGGGAUCAUGAGUUCACAUGUCCGCAUGAUUAAAGGUAUUUUCCGGUAGACGAUGGGGAUGCGUUCCAUUAGAUAGUAGGCGGGGUAACGGCCCACCUAGUCAACGAUGGAUAGGGGUUCUGAGAGGAAGGUCCCCCACAUUGGAACUGAGACACGGUCCAAACUCCUACGGGAGGCAGCAGUGAGGAAUAUUGGUCAAUGGGCGAUAGCCUGAACCAGCCAAGUAGCGUGAAGGAUGACUGCCCUAUGGGUUGUAAACUUCUUUUAUAAAGGAAUAAAGUCGGGUAUGCAUACCCGUUUGCAUGUACUUUAUGAAUAAGGAUCGGCUAACUCCGUGCCAGCAGCCGCGGUAAUACGGAGGAUCCGAGCGUUAUCCGGAUUUAUUGGGUUUAAAGGGAGCGUAGAUGGAUGUUUAAGUCAGUUGUGAAAGUCUGCGGCUCAACCGUAAAAUUGCAGUUGAUACUGGAUGUCUUGAGUGCAGUUGAGGCAGGCGGAAUUCGUGGUGUAGCGGUGAAAUGCUUAGAUAUCACGAAGAACU
rnacentral:rRNA from 1 species